UCGCACGAGAAAGGGGAGCAAUCCCUGAGUAAAGUGGCGCACGGGUGAGUAACACGUGAAUGAUCUACCUCCGAGUGGGGAAUAACUGAGAGAAAUCUUAGCUAAUACCGCAUAACACUUACGAGUCAAAGCAGCAAUGCGCUUGGAGAGGAGUUCGCGGCCGAUUAGUUAGUUGGCGGGGUAAUGGCCCACCAAGACGAUGAUCGGUAUCCGGCCUGAGAGGGCGCACGGACACACUGGAACUGAAACACGGUCCAGACUCCUACGGGAGGCAGCAGUGGGGAAUUUUGCGCAAUGGGGGAAACCCUGACGCAGCAACGCCGCGUGGAGGAUGAAAUAUCUUGGUAUGUAAACUCCUUUCGAUGGGGAAGAUUAUGACGGUACCCAUAGAAGAAGCCCCGGCUAACUUCGUGCCAGCAGCCGCGGUAAUACGAGGGGGGCAAGCGUUGUUCGGAUUUAUUGGGCGUAAAGGGUGCGUAGGCGGUUUGGCAAGUCUGAUGUGAAAUCUAUGGGCUCAACCCAUAGUCUGCAUCAGAAACUGCCGGGCUUGAGUAUGGGAGAGGUGAGUGGAAUUUCCGGUGUAGCGGUGAAAUGCGUAGAUAUCGGAAGGAACACCUGUGGCGAAAGCGGCUCACUGGACCAUAACUGACGCUGAUGCACGAAAGCUAGGGGAGCAAACAGGAUUAGAUACCCUGGUAGUCCUAGCCCUAAACGAUGAUUGCUUGGUGUGGCAGGUACCCAAUCCUGCCG
rnacentral:rRNA from 1 species